UCUCUCCCACUCUCAUUUCCUUCUCCCUCACAUUCUACUCCUUUCUUUACCCUUCUUCCUGUUCUACUCACCAUUUGAGCACUCUCACAGCAGCAACAACCUGGCAGCAUGAGGAGUUCGACUUCCCCUUCGAUUUUGGUGAUGUUUGGAAGCUUGGAAUUAUAGGAGAGAUGCACGCAUAGCUAGUUCUUGAAGUUAAGAGUUUGGGGAAUGCUUCAUUUCAUCAAAUCUCCGGGUAUUUUCGGAUUAUUAAAGUUUUGGUAAAAGCUGUCAGUUUUUUUAGCAAGCUGAGAUUUUGAUGGAUUUUCUUUGGAUUUUUCUCUUGAAUCUUGGUUUUCUUUUCGUUGGGGAGAAUCUUUACUUCAUCUAGAGCAAGUGGGAACUUUGUUUGAGCUGAAUCAAAGGGGCUUGGGAACACAUUUGGGAGUGUUGUGGUCUUCCUCAUUGCCUUGCUUCCCUCGUGGACUUGCUGGAAUAGCCGCAAGAGCUGCCGGAACUCAGCUACAGUGCAGUGGUAGCAGCAGCCUAGUGCAGGGACAGCAAUGAUGUAUUUUCAAAAUUCCUUUCGAUUGGGACUUUGUUGCUACGAUUUGAAGAUUUCUGGGUGUUCCUAAGGUUGAGAGGAACCUAGUAUUUAAGUUUGAGCCGCUGAUUUGAGAUUGGACCGAGAUUAUUCAUUAGUGGCUAGCAUGUUCCACUUUGGUCAUGAGCAUUGAUUCUUGCCUACGACAUACUUGACCUGGUUACUUUAUUCUCGAGUGGGUCACUCCCCUCGAGUGCCACUCCGGAGUUAGGCUGUCACAGCCCGCGACCACCCGCCUAUUUGGCCGAGGUCCC